rnacentral:rRNA from 1 species
UCAAACUUGAGAGUUUGAUCCUGGCUCAGAACGAACGCUGGCGGCAUGCCUAACACAUGCAAGUCGAACGAGAUCUUCGGAUCUAGUGGCGCACGGGUGCGUAACGCGUGGGAAUCUGCCCUU